rnacentral:rRNA from 1 species
UACGUAGGGUCCGAGCGUUGUCCGGAAUUACUGGGCGUAAAGAGCUCGUAGGUGGUUUGUCGCGUUGUUCGUGAAAACUCACAGCUUAACUGUGGGCGUGCGGGCGAUACGGGCAGACUAGAGUACUGCAGGGGAGACUGGAAUUCCUGGUGUAGCGGUGGAAUGCGCAGAUAUCAGGAGGAACACCGGUGGCGAAGGCGCUCAUCUGGCCCAAUACUGACGCUGAGGCGCGAAAGCGUGGGGAGCGAACAGG